CCCUUAGAUGUUCUGGGCCGCACGCGCGCUACACUGAUGAAUUCAACGAGCUCCUAACCUAGGCCGAAGGGUCCGGGUAAUCUUUGAAAUUUCAUCGUGAUGGGGAUAGAUUAUUGCAAUUAUUAAUCUUCAACGAGGAAUUCCUAGUAAGCGCGAGUCAUCAGCUCGCGUUGAUUACGUCCCUGCCCUUUGUACACACCGCCCGUCGCUCCUACCGAUUGAAUGGUCCGGUGAAAUGUCCGGACCGCGACAAGGCGGACGGUUCGCUGUCAGCUUUGCUGCGGGAAGUUCAUUAAACCUUAUCAUUUAGAGGAAGGAGAAGUCGUAACA
rnacentral:rRNA from 1 species